rnacentral:rRNA from 1 species
GAAGGUGGCUAGCGUUGCUCGGAUUUACUGGGCAUAAAGCGCGCGUAGGUGGUCCUGUAAGCGGGGGGAUGAAAAGCCCAUGGCUCACCCAUGGAACUGUCCUUCGGACUGCAAGGCUAGAGGGCGGGAGGGGAGAAUGGAAUUCCCGGUGUAGCGGUGAAAUGCGUAGAUAUCGGGAGGAACGCCGGUGGCGAAAGCGAUUCUCUGGCCCGUCCCUGACACUGAGGCGCGAGAGCUAGGGGAGCAAACAGGAUUAGAUACCCUGGUAGUCCUAGCUGUAAACGAUGGGCACUGGGUAGAGGGGGUGUCGAUACUCUCUCUGCCGAAGCAAAUGUGUUAAGUGCCCCGCCUGGGGAGUACGGUCGCAAGGCUA